rnacentral:rRNA from 1 species
UACAGAGGGGGCAAGCGUUGUUCGGAAUUACUGGGCGUAAAGGGCGCGUAGGCGGCCUGUUAAGUCGAACGUGAAAUCCCCGGGCUCAACCCGGGAACUGCGUCCGAUACUGGCAGGCUUGAAUUCGGGAGAGGGAUGCGGAAUUCCAGGUGUAGCGGUGAAAUGCGUAGAUAUCUGGAGGAACACCGGUGGCGAAGGCGGCCUCCUGGACCGAGAUUGACGCUGAGGCGCGAAAGCCAGGGGAGCAAACGGG